rnacentral:rRNA from 1 species
GACGAACGCUGGCGGCGUGCCUAACACAUGCAAGUCGUGCGAGAAAGUUCCUUCGGGAGCGAGUAAAGCGGCGCACGGGUGAGUAACACGUAGGUAACCUGCCCCCCAGUCUGGAACAACUAGAGGAAACUCUAGCUAAUGCCGGAUGAGACCACGAUCCCUUCGGGGGUUGCGGCCAAAGAUGGCCUCUACUUGUAAGCUAUCGCUGAGGGAUGGGCCUGCGGGCCAUUAGCUUGUUGGUGAGGUAACGGCUCACCAAGGCUGUGAUGGCUAGCUGGUCUGAGAGGAUGACCAGCCACACUGGGACUGAGACACGGCCCAGACUCCUACGGAGGCAGCAGUGGGGAAUAUUGCGCAAUGGGCGAAAGCCUGACGCAGCGACGCCGCGUGGGUGGAUG